UGCAAGUCGAGCGCACAGCGAAAGGUGCUUGCACCUUUCAAGUGAGUGGCGAACGGGUGAGUAACACGUGGAUAACCUACCUCAAGGUUGGGGAUAACAUUUGGAAACAGAUGCUAAUACCGAAUAAAACUUAGUAUCGCAUGAUACCAGGUUAAAAGGCGCUACGGCGUCACCUAGAGAUGGAUCCGCGGUGCAUUAGUUAGUUGGUGGGGUAAAGGCUUACCAAGACAAUGAUGCAUAGCCGAGUUGAGAGACUGAUCGGCCACAUUGGGACUGAGACACGGCCCAAACUCCUACGGGAGGCUGCAGUAGGGAAUCUUCCACAAUGGGCGAAAGCCUGAUGGAGCAACGCCGCGUGUGUGAUGAAGGCUUUAGGGUCGUAAAGCACUGUUGUAUGGGAAGAAAUGCUAGAAUAGGGAAUGAUUCUAGUUCGACGGUACCAUACCAGAAAGGGACGGCUAA
rnacentral:rRNA from 1 species